AUGAGGAUAAAAAACAGGAAGUCGCAGCUCGUAGGUUUGCUGUCCGUUCAAUUUGUUAUCCAGCCGCUGGUAGUAGACGGGAAUCCUGGCGCCAGAUUCCUGCUGUGUCGGAAGGCCACGGGGUUGUGUGUAUGCCUGUAUGUGCCGUGCUGCAGGUGUAAUGAUGUGGCUAUCAUGGGUUCAUGUGUGGUGCUAAUUGUGUGUAUAUAUUUGCAGCAGUCUGCCAUUGCUGUUUUGACUGAGUGUUGUUGUUGUUGUUGUUGUUGUUGUUGUUGUUGUCAUCAUUAUAUGUACUUUGUUUAGUUUGUUUUGUUAUCUUGCUUUAUUGUGCAUAUUUUGUGGUACCAUGCUGAUUGGGCAAUAUUGACUAUGUGCUUGUUGAGGACUGCUGCUUGUUAAUCUCACCUUUUAUAAUUGAAUGAUUUAUUCAAUAAACAUUGCCCUGUCAACUGGAA